UUGGACCUUAACAAGAUGUCUGCAGAACACAGCUUGAAGGGGACCGAAGACAGAACCUCUUGGAUGAUCUUGUAACUCGAGAGAGACUACUUCUGGCAUCCUUUAAGAAUGAGGGUGCCGAACCAGAUCUAAUCAGGUCCAGCCUGAUGAGUGAAGAGGCUAAGCGAGGAGCACCCAACCCUUGGCUCUUUGAGGAGCCAGAGGAGACCAGAGGCUUGGGUUUUGAUGAAAUCCGGCAACAGCAGCAGAAAAUUAUCCAAGAACAGGACGCAGGCCUUGAUGCCCUUUCUUCCAUCGUAAGUCGCCAAAAACAAAUGGGGCAGGAAAUUGGGAAUGAAUUGGAUGAACAAAAUGAGAUAAUUGACGACCUUGCCAACCUGGUGGAGAACACUGAUGAAAAACUUCGCACAGAAACCAGGCGUGUAAACGUGGUGGACAGAAAGUCAACCUCUUGUGGACUUUUCUUUUUACUGGAGAAAGUUAUGAACAAAGCCGGGCUGAUGAUCAAAUCCCUUCCAGAACAGUGGUUGAGAUCUGACCUCCACCCAAGCCAGCAAGCAGGGAUGAUCAUGGUGAUUUUACUGCUGCUCGUGGCUAUCGUGGUGGUUGCGGUCUGGCCAACUAAUUGAUGGCAGUAAAGAGACCACCAGCUGUGACACCUGCCAGUGACAGAUACAAGCCCAGCACCCUUUUGGGCAUGGAGAUGAGGUGUCCUUCCUAUUCACAGGGUUGCUGUGAGGACAGAGUGAGUUGGCACACACAAGCACAGAGCGCCCUGCUUGGCUCCACUGAAAGAAAGUUCCUUCUGGCUGAGGCGGGCAGAUCACCUGAGGUCGGGAGUUCGAGACCAGCCUGACCAACA